rnacentral:rRNA from 1 species
UACGUAGGGUGCAGGCGUUAAUCGGAAUUACUGGGCGUAAAGCGUGCGCAGGCGGUUUGCUAAGAGAGAUGGGAAAUCCCCGGGCUUAACCUGGGAACUGCGUUUCUAACUGGCAGGCUUGAGUGUGGCAGAGGGGGGUGGAAUUCCACGUGUAGCAGUGAAAUGCGUAGAGAUGUGGAGGAACACCGAUGGCGAAGGCAGCCCCCUGGGCUAACACUGACGCUCAUGCACGAAAGCGUGGGGAGCAAACAGG